UUUUUUACUACAACUCGCAUCAUAACAGGUUCACCCUAAGGAACUCCAUCAGUACUUAAAGUUUGUUCUGGAUGCAUCAUCGGUGGGGUUGAGUAUGCUCUCUGGCUGUAGGGUAAACUACAACUCCCACUAUGGUCCCAGUAGCAGACACCACUGCAGUAAUCAACCAGAGUUUCCUAGAAGACAUCACAGCUGUGUUUCUGCUGGAAAUGACAACCUUCAAGCCUUCUCUAGUAAUCUGUUUAUCUAUGAUCUUGUUGCUUACUGUUUCCUGUAUGUAUGUUCUGGUAUGCAGUUUCCUUUAUGGUUCCUGUCUAUAUUCCCAAAGGCUUGAAACUUGAAACAAUAUUUGUUAUCCAAACAGGAGACCUGGAACUUAAACAUGGAAACAAGAUCCAGACCCAAGAACAGAACUCCUAACUUUGAGCUCCCAGGACAGGCCACUUGACAAAUGAAAAUCCAACGUUGAUCUCCCCACCGAACAUUGACUCCAGUUCCUUAAGUAUACUCCCCCUUGCCUAUGGUUUCACUUUUUCUCACACCCGUGUUCCCUUUGUUUUUCUUUCAGUCUUUGGGAACAGCAAAUUUGUCUCUGUUUCACACUAUCCCUUCUGAUCUGUAAACACUGGGUUAUUGGUAACCCUCCUGUCUCCUCCACAUUCUUUUCAGAGUCAAUCCCUGGCCGAUUCUCAUGAGAAUUGCUGUCAGUUUCCUUGACAACAGAUCUACACAAAACACUCAUCUUGAAAAACAUUUUUGCUUUCCCCCACAGAAACACAGGAUCAACCAGAAAAUCCCGAUCCUCAUCCUCAGAGGCUUCACAGGCCUCAACUCAAAGCUCUGCCCUCACUCCCCUCCUUUUCGUUGUUGCAAUGGAUGUAAUUACCAGACCUGCAGAAACCAGUACCUUGGACUUUGCUGUACGCUUACAACGUAAUGUUUACAAUUAAAACCAAACAAUUAAAACAUAAUUUAUUAAAAACAUCAGUUAAAAUCACAUCAUCUAAAAUGUAAUCCAGGGCUGUUCCACUUAUCAACACAUUAAUUUGUAAUCACUUAAUUGCAUUUCUCUUUUUAUUUGUCAGAAGCUUGGUCCCAGAGCCAUGACUUAGAUCACAGAGACAGGCCAGGGCCAACAGUUUCAGAAGAAACAGGAUGUUUCUCUUGAAAAUCCGUUUCUUGGGCCUUCCCAGCCUUCAGAAGAUGGGGAGUUACUUCAUGAUAAGAGAUUAGGGCUCCACAUGGAGAGAGCUAAGGAAAGGUUAAUGAGAAGGUCAGAAAGAAUUCGUGAGGAACAGUAAUUGAAAGACCAGUGCAAAAAAGAUGAUCUCAUGUUUGUUCGGUCAGGUUUGAGCUUAAAUUAGGUUCUGGUUCCCGGGGCUCUUCAGAGCAGACAACUUUGUUAAAUAAUCUAGUUCAUGACCAGUUCUCAAAUUUGCCUAUGUUUUUGAAUUGAUUUUUGCCUUGCUUAAGUUCCUGUUUUCAUGCUUUGGUUCCUUGGAUUUCAUGUACCUUGUUAUUUUGGGACUUCUUGUACACUCUUAUGGAUUUCAUGUUUCUUGCUACCUUGGAUUUCAUGGACAUUACCAAUUUGGGCUACAGUGUUCCCUCAUUUAUUGCUGUUGUUUUUAAAGAGGGUUCAUGUUGGUACAAUCUUUGAGAGAGCAACACUGCAUUCAGGCGAAGAGCUCUCAUUUUUGGCCUAUGUUCUUGGAAUUCAUGUACAUGUACAGUACUCAAGUUUCUAAACUGUUCUUGCUUUUCGUUCAUGUGUGGCCUGAUUUGCCUGCCUUGGAUUUUAUGUUAUCUUGCCUUUGGAAAUCUCGGUGAAUUGCUGUUGGGGGCUUUCCUUGCAUGGAUUUUUGGAUUUUCGGCUUUUAUGGAAAUAACCCUUUGAACUUUCUUGCUUUUGAAUUUGCUUGCUUUUUAUACACUCUGCUUUUAAUAAACUUACUUAUUGGA